rnacentral:tRNA from 2 species
GGAGGAUUACCCAAGUGGUCGAAGGGGGCGCACUCGAAAUGCGUUAGGCCGGUCAAACGGUGCGAGGGUUCGAAUCCCUUGUCCUCCG